rnacentral:tRNA from 1 species
GGAGAGGUGGCUGAGUGGUCGAAAGCGGAGGAUUGCUAAUCCUUUGUACGCCCCUAAAGGUGUACCGCGGGUUCAAAUCCCGCCCUCUCCGCCA